UCUUCCUUCAAUCUUCCUUCCUUCAUUCUUCCUCCAUUCUUCUUCAUUCCUUCUUCUUCAUUCUUCCUCUUCCUUCAUUCUUCCUUCUUCAUUCUUCCUUCUUCCUUCAUUCCUUCUUCCUUCUUCAUUCUUCCUUCUUCAUUCCUUCUUCUUCUUCAUUCUUCCUUCAUUCUUCCUUCCUUCAUUCUUCCUUCUUCAUUCUUCCUUCUUCCUUCAUUCUUCCUUCCUUCCUUCUUCAUUCCUUCUUCCUUCCUUCCUCCUUCCUUCUUCAUUCUUCCUUCCUUCAUUCUUCCUUCUUCAUUCCUUCUUCUUCAUUCUUCCUUUUUCAUUCUUCCUUCAUUCUUCCUUCCUUCAUUCUUCCUCUUCAGUCUUCUUCCUUCAUUCUUUCUUCUUCUGCUACAGGAACCACACCUGCUAUACUGAGCACAUUUUAAUUUCUUUUUAUUUUUUUUUAAAUGAGUUCUGUCUCGAAACGUUCACAACAUGCAGUAUUUACACAUAUACAUGUAUAUUGUCUUGUUGAUGUGUGACCUUAAGCUAGAUUUAGUCUGUUGGUUCUCGAGAAAUUGGUUGAGCUCGUUCUCAUCUCAAUCUCCAAGGAGCAUGUACCUUUUUUAUAUCAAGUAUUACAUAAUUUACAGGAGGAAAAAACCAAGUUACUCUUCUUGUAGCCGAAUCAAAGGCGUGUCUGACUAUUUUUUGAAUGCGUAUUUGAUGUAAGUGUAUCUAGAGAUCAGGCACUCAUUUCCAGUGUGCAGCAAAUUUGUGGUCGCUGCCUCACACGUCAAGUAUAAUUGCGAUCACAUGAUGAUGUCAUACACCGAACAAUGUGGUUCUUUGUGGCCGCAACAAUGUGGUUCAGACGAUAUGCUGGAGGAUCCUGUUGCUGAAAGUGUUUGAUUAAUGAUCUGGGCUGCCUAUAAAUGGUGUCUGGUAUGUUCUCGGCUCUCUCUGUUGCUGAGCAGAGAGUACCGUCUCUGUUCCUCGUUGCAAGAGCUCUGAACUGUCAUUACACUCCUCGAAUGCCUUUUGUGUAACCGAAAUCCACUGGCUCCUGACUGCCUUGACACAAAUGUGGUAUACAUUCGCGGGGCAGCUACAGGGACGUGCUUGCCUUGUGGAGGCCCGUAAUGGUUGGCCGAGUCACUUUGAUAACGACUCCCACUGCCCUCUCGAUUUCAAGAAAUGACACAAAAAGGAGUCAUGGUCUCGAGGGAGAUUAUCUAAGGCCCAAACAUCUCAACUUCAUCUAUCUGACAGGUUUUUCUUUCACGUAUGGAAAAGUAUGCUCUGGAUAAUGCCUUUCAUGUGAUAAUGUCCAAUGUGGCGAGUCUUUUACAAUGUAAAAACAUUAUAUCCUGUGUUUGGACUACAGCUAGACCUGGACUUGCUGAGGAUUUUAUGCUCAUUUACCUUAAAGGUGGUCAUAUGAUGCGUUUUUAAUCUUUUCCUUUUCCUUUAGUACGUAAUGUAUUUGUUUGUACAUGUAUAAGAUCUGCAAAGUUACAAAGCUCAUAGUCCCCCCCAAAGAGAUUUGUUCUGUCUAUCUAACAGAGAACGGUGCUCCAGACCUGCCUAAAAAAACACCUUGAUCCAAGUCCAGAUAUUGCUUCCGCAAACGUCUACGUCACACUUUUGAAAUAUUAUGGGUCAGCUGGCCAAUCGGAGCACUCUGGGCUUUUCGGAAGGAGGGGAGUGUCUCCAGUGUCUUCAUAAGCUCCAUAUUGUAGAAUUGAUUGUCACUUAGUUUCUGUCUAGUUAAUAAUCUUUAAAUAUCAGGAAAAUGAAACAACCUUAGGAAAUCUCAAUGUUUGCUGGAAACAUCUGGAAUUUGUUUCAUGAUGAAAAGGCAAGAAAUCCUCCCUUUUCUGAAUAAAAUGCUGCCAAAUGUCAAACAGAGAUGAGUGUGUGUCUCCGUGCCCUCACUUCAGCAUUCCCCUAAUUAGAAUUGCUGCCAAACCUCUGGAUCUCCUUAAGGUAUAUCUAAACACGUUCCGCUUUGAACAUACAGAAAUGACUUUACAAACAAACCUGUCAUGACCAUGUUCAGAAAUUUAGAUCUUCCUGUCUGGUUCAGUAAAUACUCAUCAUAGACUCUCCAAGCAUUCAUAUACGGAAUUUAUCAAUAUGUACUUAUCCUGCU